rnacentral:rRNA from 1 species
GACGUAGGGCGCGAGCGUUGUCCGGAUUUAUUGGGCGUAAAGAGCUCGUAGGCGGCUUGUCGCGUCGUCCGUGAAAACUUGGGGCUCAACCCCAAGCUUGCGGUCGAUACGGGCAGGCUAGAGUUCGGUAGGGGAGACUGGAAUUCCUGGUGUAGCGGUGAAUGCGCAGAUAUCAGGAGGAACACCGGUGGCGAAGGCGGGUCUCUGGGCCGAUACUGACGCUGAGGAGCGAAAGCGUGGGGAGCGAACAGG